rnacentral:rRNA from 1 species
GACGAACGCUGGCGGCGUGCUUAACACAUGCAAGUCGAACGGAAAGGCCCUGCUUUUGGGGGGUGGUCGAGUGGCGACCGGGGGAGUAACACGUGAGUAACCUACCCCUGCCUGUGGGGUAACUUCAUGACACUGGGGCUAAUACGGCCUAGGAUCUCCUGCCUCUUGGUGGGCGCUGGUUGGUUUCGGCGGUUGGGGAUGUGCUCGCGGCUUAUCAGCUUGUUGGGGGGGUAGUGGCUUACCAAGGCUUUGCGGGGUAGCCGGGCUGAGAGGGUAACCUGACAAACUGCGACUGGACUGCGACACAGCCUACAAUGGUACGGAGCGGAGGAGAAGAUUGCACAAUGGGAGGGGGGAUGAUGCAGCAACGCCGCGUGGGGGAUGAGAGGCUUGGGGUUGUGAACCGCUUCCGCCUGAGACGAAACGUGAAUGACGGUAACGGGUAAAGAAGCUCCGGCUAACUACGUG